rnacentral:rRNA from 1 species
GACGAACGCUGGCGGCGUGCCUAAUACAUGCAAGUAGAACGCUGAAGAGAGGAGCUUGCUCUUCUUGGAUGAGUUGCGAACGGGUGAGUAACGCGUAGGUAACCUGCCUUUUAGCGUGGGAUAACUAUGGGAAACGAUAGCUAAUACCGCAUAACAAUUGAUGACACAUGUCUUUUAUUUGAAAGUGGCAAUUUCUCCACUACAUGAUGGACCUGCGUUGUAUUAGGUAGGAGGUGAGGUAAUGGGUCACCCAGGCGAAGGUACAUAGCCCACCUGAAAGGGGGAUACGCCCACAUGGGAAUGGGACAAGGCACAGAAUCCUAAGGGAGGCCACCAUAGGGAAUCUUCGGGAAAGGGGGGAAACCUGACCGAGGAAAGCCGGGUGAGUGAAGAAGGUUUUCGGGUCGUAAAGCUCUGUUGUAAGUCAAGAAAGGAUGUGAGAGUGAAAAGUUCACACUGUGACGGUAGCUUAUCAGAAAGGGACGGCUAACUACGUG